CCAUAACAUGUUGAAACACAGGUUCUAAUGCAAUCACAGAAGUUAAGCAAUAUCAAGCCUGGUCAGUACCUAUAUGGGUGACCGCUUGGGAAUACCAUAUGCUGUAAG